rnacentral:rRNA from 1 species
GUGCCAGCCGCCGCGGUAAUACCGGCAGCCCAAGUGAUGGCCGCUGUUAUUGGGCCUAAAGCGUCCGUAGCUGGCCGCACAAGUCCGUCGGGAAAUCCGCCCGCUCAACGGGCGGCCGUCCGGCGGAACCUGUGUGGCUUGGGACCGGGAGGCCUGAGGGGUACGAUCGGGGUAGGAGUGAAAUCCUGUAAUCCCGCUCGGACCGCCGAUGGCGAAAGCACCUCGGAAAGACGGAUCCGACAGUGAGGGACGAAAGCUAGGGUCGCGAACCGGAUUAGAAACCCUGGUAGUCC